GACAAGUGGAGAGUGAACAAGAGCACCGGGCCUCCUGGGUCGCGAUGAGCUGGUGGCCCAGGAGAGGAAGGAGGCCGACUGGGAUGGAGCAGCUGUCCAGGUGGAAGCCCACAGUGGAGCCUGGACCAUGAGAGAUUGGCACACACCAGAAGGUGGGCACCGGAUGGUGGAGUUUAAUUUGCAAUGACCCAAGCCUGGAAACAGCUCAGCUGUCUUUCACGUGGAGGUGGAUAAUUGAGGUACCAGAGGUCUGUAGGGGCAUCUUGGGAUAGGAUGUUACUCUUCCUGCCGCACUGCAGUUGGUGGAAAUGGAGAAGGCUGAGGGAGGAAGAGUUCAGUUUGGAGUAGAGAGAGUGUGGUGUCCUUGCUGGACAAGCCUCCGGAGCCAACAGCACCCUGGGGGCAGCAGGUCUCUACUUCUCCACUGUUCUGGAUACAGAUUCCCAGCCCUGUGACUGUGGGUAGACCGUGUCUCUGAGGACUCCAAGUACAUGGAGGUACUGUUGGAGUUCUGACUCUGAGGGGCACGAAGUGGGUGGCCUGCCACCUCUGUUCCUGUGUAGACCACACACAAAGCUGAGGGUCUUUGUCUCCCUGGCUAAGAGGCACAUGAAGAGCGUGGGCGAAGUGUGAGAGUCAUCACCUCUCCAACAAAGGACGCAUCUAUUGAAGGAGCUUUCAGAAACAAGGACCUGGAGUCCGGCGUGGUGGCGCAUGCCUUUAAUCCCAGCACUCCUGAGGCAGAGGCAGAUGGAUCUCUGUGAGUUCCAGGCCAGCCUGGUCUACAUAAAACGGCUUUUGCUGUCCCUGCUGUAGAGAUGGUCAUGUAAGGCUGGCCUCGGCUUGUCCACCCCACCUCUGGCUCUUCUCCUGGAUGACCACCCCAUGUGCCUCAGACUUGGAUCCCCUGCUGGCCAGAGCCUCUUCAGAAGUGACCCCAGCCCAUAGGCUCUGCUCUCUGGCUUCCAGCUUGGAUUCUGCCUGCAUGGGUGGUCCCUCCUGCCUCAGAGGCCUGGCUUGUCAGAUUCUUCCCUUGCAGAGACAGACCACUGUGGCUGUCCACUAAGGAUGUGUCGGAGUGCAGAGAGGUCCAGUCACCCUGGCCCUGCCAGUUUGAUGGUUGAUACUGAUUAUUGGCUUGACGGGAUCUAGACUCACCUUGAAGACAAGCCCCUGGCCAUGUCUAUGAGGGCUUCUAGAUCCAGUUAACUGAGGUGGGAAGACCCACCCUGAACGUGGGGGGCACCACCCCAGGAGCUGGGGUCCCAGACUGAAUAAAAAGGGGAAAGUGAGUUGGGCACCUCUCUCUGCUUCUUGACCAUGGAUGCAACACGAUCAGCCGCCUCACGUUCCUGCCGUCAUGCCUCCCCAUGCUGGACUGUGUUC